UUAGGUAUUGAAGAGAUAGCAGAGGGUUGUGUGUUAAGCACAGGAAACGCCGAGGGGAGUAGAAGGUGUAAACCGUUGGGAAGCGGCUCUUCUUGGUAACGAAUC